rnacentral:lncRNA from 1 species
UUUCUUGUUUUUAUGCCCCACCUACGAUAGUAGAGGGGCAUUAUGUUUUCUGGUCUGUGCCUCCGUUCGUCCGUCCGUCUGUUCGUCCGUCCAUCUGUGCGUCCGUUUGUCCGUCCGUCUAGGUUAAAGUUUUUGGUCAAGGUAUUUUUUGAAGAAGUUGAAGUCCAAUCAACUUGAAACUUAGUACACAUGUUCCCAAUGAUAUGAUCUUUCUAAUUUUAAUGCCAAAUUAUAGUUU